rnacentral:rRNA from 1 species
UACAGAGGGGGCAAGCGUUGUUCGGAAUUACUGGGCGUAAAGGGCGCGUAGGCGGCCUGCUAAGUCGAACGUGAAAUCCCCGGGCUCAACCCGGGAACUGCGUCCGAUACUGGCAGGCUUGAAUUCGGGAGAGGGAUGCGGAAUUCCAGGUGUAGCGGUGAAAUGCGUAGAUAUCUGGAGGAACACCGGUGGCGAAGGCGGCAUCCUGGACCGAAAUUGACGCUGAGGCGCGAAAGCCAGGGGAGCAAACAGG